rnacentral:lncRNA from 1 species
AUAAAGAAGACAUUGGCGAUGACCCAACGACGCACUCCACGACAAGCUUGGUGACGAAGGGGUUGCCAGCAAGGAGGUGCUCCCUGAGCUAUUGAAACUGCAGCAAUCAGGCCUCCAUCUCAAGUGUGUGAAAAAACAUGAAUGAAGCCAAAUGAUUCACAGUACUUGAUGGACUAAACAUCUAGAAAGAAGCAUUUCAUCCACAACUGAAACUUAAGAGUGAUCUACUGACCAAGGUCAAUAACUUCUGGUCUAACCAAAGAUGAAAUAUACAAGGGUAGCAGAUCAUAGAACUUAUUAACAAGCCAGAAACCUUCUAUCUUCUGAAGAAAAUGAAAGCUAAAAUCUUCAGUGGGGGCAUACUUUCAAUUUUUUGAACAAUAUCAAGUGAUACCGCUUACAUAGUGAUCGUUCCUGUAAAGAGGAAGCACAUGGCCUAUCAUCAUUCAAUUCAUGCUUACUGGAAACAAAUAACUAAGAACAAAUAAGAUAACUUGCAGUAUAGGAGGUAACCCUUCCAUUUUAAUUGGAAAAUGCCAAAUAGUACAUGAUACAAAAAUAUAAUGUUCUGCAACUACCCAUUUUCUCAAAAGAGAGUAAAUUAUUAAACCAAUUCCCACUUCUAAAAAAAGGAAAAGAACUAGGGUAACCUUGAAGAUGCAUGUGCAAUUAGAACAACCAUGUAUCCUUGACCAACAAUGAGACUUAGAAUUGGCACAACACUCGACUGCAAUCAAGGGAACUGACCGGCAGUCAGAAUUCUGCAUCUAUCUAUUAAUGAACCAUUGGAGGAACAAGAUAUUCGGGAAAGGGAAUUGACUGGUAGUCAGAAUUCGGCAUCCAUCUAUUGAUGGAUCUAUUGGCAGAACAACAAGAAACUCAGGGAAUGGGAGCCGGCCGAGAAGCAGAUUGGGCACUCAUCGAGGUCGAGCCUGGUGUUGUCUGCAUUAUUACUUAUUAAGCAGGUCUCUAUUGCAGAGUGAAAUCAUCUGUUACCAAGAUUUUAAAUAAUAGAAAGAACAAUAACAGCAAAACAAAGAAAUUCAGGGAGUGGUCUCAUGAAGAUGUACUUCACAUUGUAAGAAAGAAGAAAGCUCAGAAACUGUGGUAUGAAACACAUUCACAUAACCAUUCUGAGUUGUAGCAAUAGUUCAAGGAGGAAGGCAAUGUUAAUAAGUUGGUACACCAAUCUAUUCCUAAGAAUGGUCAAUUUUAAGGGAUAAAAAACAAUAAUCUAUUCUUACCAAGCUUUUCAUUGGUAAAAAGUUCGGCACCCAAAUAACUUGUUAGCAGCAAAAAAUUUCAUUAAUGUGAAAAUAGAACUGCAAUAUGAUCUUUUAUGAGAAAAUAAACUAACAUGAGGUAAAAACGAGAGCAAACAUAGAUGGUAUGGCAGAAGAACAAAUGAAAAUCCUGAUGACAGGGUAUAAAAACAUGAUGAAACCAAUAUCGAAUAGGUAAACCAAUAAGUUCUUAAGAAAAAUAACCUGGAAAGCAAAUCACAAGCACAUCAAUGUCAAACAGAAAGAAAAAUUGUUUCUUAAAAUGAUAUCAUACUAUUUAGUAGUUAUAAUAUCUAUGACCAGAUAUAUAAUAACAAAGUUGAAUAAUUUUAGUCCGUUCAACCCUAGUUGAUGCAGCAAAAGAUGCACAAAAUAAUGACCUUUACAACAGGUUUGUCCGGUACUGGACAGAGACGGGUUGGAGCAGAGUGUCGUCCACAGUGAAUUGUGAGAGGCUGCAGCAGAGGGUUUCACGGCGAGGCGGCGGGCUCAAGCAGAACAAGCACGCAAAGAUGCAUC